rnacentral:rRNA from 1 species
GUCGAACGAAGUAGCAAUACUUAGUGGCAGACGGGUGAGUAACAUGUAGGCAUUUUCCCUUUGGUGAGGAAUAACACGAGGAAACUUGUGCUAAUACCUCAUAAGUCUUUACGGAGAAAGCUUUAUGCGCCAUUGGAUGAGCCUGCACUUGAUUAGUUUGUUGGUGGGGUAAUGGCCUACCAAGACUUUGAUCAACAGCUGAUUUGAGAGGAUGAUCAGCCACAUUGGGACUGAGACACGGCCCAAACUCCUACGGGAGGCAGCAGUAGGGAAUCUUGCACAAUGGAGGAAACUCUGAUGCAGCGAUGCCGCGUGAGUGAAGAAGGCCCUUGGGUUGUAAAGCUCUUUCGUCGGGGAAGAAAAUGACUGUACCCGAAUAAGAAGGUCCGGCUAACUUCGUGCAGCAGCCGCGGUAAUACGAAGGGACCUAGCGUAGUUCGGAAUUACUGGGCUUAAAGAGUUCGUAGGUGGUUAAAAAAGUUGGUGGUGAAAUCCCAGAGCUUAACUCUGGAACUGCCAUCAAAACUUUUUAGCUAGAGUAUGAUAGAGGAAAGCAGAAUUUCUAGUGUAGAGGUGAAAUUCGUAGAUAUUAGAAAGAAUACCGAUUGCGAAGGCAGCUUUCUGGAUCAUUACUGACACUGAGGAACGAAAGCAUGGGUAGCGAAGAGGAUUAGAUACCCUCGUAGUCCAUGCCGAAAACGAUGUGUGUUAGACGUUGGAAAUUUAUUUUCAGUGUCGCAGCGAAAGCAAUAAACACACCGCCUGGGGAGUACGACCGCAAGGUUAAAACUCAAAUGAAUUGACGGGGACCCGCAC